GUCCACGCCGUAAACGAUGGGCACUAGAUGCCGGGCUCUUCGACGAGUUCGGUGUCGUAGCUAACGCAUUAAGUGCCCCGCCUGGGGAGUACGGCCGCAAGGCUGAAACUCAAAGGAAUUGACGGGGGCCCGCACAAGCGGUGGAGCAUGUGGUUUAAUUCGACGCAACGCGAAGAACCUUACCUGGGCUUGACAUCCAUGUGAAAGCCCCUGGAAACAGGGGCCCUUCUUCGGAACGCAUGGACAGGUGCUGCAUGGCUGUCGU
rnacentral:rRNA from 1 species